rnacentral:lncRNA from 1 species
GCCCCCCCACCAGACAAGUCGAGACCCUUCUGGGUUCUCGCAGGGACCAAACGUGCGCCGCUAGCUCAACAAGUCAACAGCAUCAACACGUUACAACAGUCCAACAGGCUACAGCGACCGUGCGAAAAAGACAUGGCACCAGGAAUGAAAAAAAAAGAGAGAGAAGGAACACUGAAUAACCCUGACGGUCCGACGCGCCACCGGGAUUCCAUAUUCGCAAUUGCAAUGGGGCCUUGUUUAGUUCCUAAAAAAAUUUACAAAAUUUUUCAGAUUUCCCGUC